rnacentral:rRNA from 1 species
CCAGAGAUGGAUGGUUCCCUUCGGGGACGCAGUGACAGGUGCUGCAUGGCUGUCGUCAGCUCGUGUCGUGAGAUGUUCGGUUAAGUCCGGCAACGAGCGCAACCCACAUCUUCAGUUGCCAGCAGUUCGGCUGGGCACUCUGGAGAAACUGCCCGUGAUAAGCGGGAGGAAGGUGUGGAUGACGUCAAGUCCUCAUGGCCCUUACGGGUUGGGCUACACACGUGCUACAAUGGCAACUACAGGCAGCAAUCCCGCGAGGGUGAGCUAAUCUC